GCCAGUGUGGCGUAGUGGUUUGAGGAUUGGACUAUGGCUCUGGAGACCAGGGUUUGAAUCCCCACUUGGCCA
rnacentral:tRNA from 1 species